UCCAGACUCAUAUAUCCCACUGUCCUCAUGACAUCUCUUUGAAAUUCCUAUAAGAAUUCCCAGCCUACAGAUCCCAAGUUGAUCCCAGUCUUCUAACUCUGUUCUUCCUUCAGCUUUCAGAAAUGACUCCUUUCCAGUCAGUUUCCAAGGCUGGAAUCCUGGACAACAUUCUAGAAUAACCUCUCUCCCUUAUACCUCUACAUCUGAUUUCAUCAAUUUUUGUCAUGUUUAUUACCUAAAUGCUUCUCAAAUACAUUGUUUACUCCAUCCCACUGUUAUCAAACAUACUCUUGAUUGCCACCCUUUUUUCCUUGACAGCUCUAAUAGCAGGGCCUCUUGCCUACCUUACCUUAGCUAGUCUCAAUAUAGCACCCAGAGUGAUCUUUUAAAAAAAGCAUAUGACGUUUACUCAUUCAACAAAUAGGAUUUGAGCACCUAAUAUACACCAGGCACUGUGUUAGGUACUGAAGAUAUAAUUAUAGGCAAAAUAGAUUGGGUUUAUGAAGCUGAAAGGGAAAUCAAAUAAGUAUAACAUUACAAAUGUAAUAAACACAAAGGGAAGCUGUAUGGUGCUUUGAGAGCACCCGAAAACAGAAGCUAAGUUGCUUGGGGAAUAAGGAGAGAGGGUCAAAAGAAUAUGAUGUUUGAACUAACAGAUAUAAAGGAGAAUUAGGGUUCAUUAGGCUAAGAGAGUAGAGGUUGUAGUAAGAGAGUAGAGGAAGAAGCUUCCAGGCAGAAGGGAAAUCAUACAGAAGAAGAGAAUUUCAAAGAGUCAAAACCACUGAGGCUAGAGAGGAUAAAAACCAAAGCUGGGGGCAGAAAGGACAAGGUAGGGGUCAGGCUAAGCAGGACUAUUUAAACCAUGCUAAGAAUUUUGACCUUGGGGCUGGGGAUGUGGCUCAAGCGGUAGCGCACUCGCCUGGCAUGCGCGCGGCCCGG
rnacentral:lncRNA from 1 species